CCCUUAGACGUUCUGGGCCGCACGCGCGCUACACUGACCAGUGCAACAAGCAUCCGUCCUUGGCCGACAGGCCCGGGCAAUCUUUGAACGCUGGUCGUGAUGGGGAUAGACUUUUGCAAUUUUUGGUCUUCAACGAGGAAUUCCUAGUAAACGCAAGUCAUCAACUUGCAUUGAUUACGUCCCUGCCCUUUGUACACACCGCCCGUCGCACCUACCGAUUGAAUGGUCCGGUGAAGCCUCCGGAUUGGCGCGCACCCCGGUGCCGCCGAGAAGUUGGCUAAACCUUACCAUUUAGAGGAAGGUGAAGUCGUANCA
rnacentral:rRNA from 1 species